UCCCUGGCUGUCCAAUGGUUAGGACUCUGAGCUUCCACUACAGGGAGCACAGGUUCUAUCCCUGGUCAGGGAA
rnacentral:tRNA from 1 species